GAUGAACGCUAGCGAUAGGCUUAACACAUGCAAGUCGAGGGGCAGCAUGGUCUUAGCUUGCUAAGACUGAUGGCGACCGGCGCACGGGUGCGUAACGCGUAUGCAACUUGCCUCACAGAGGGGGAUAACCCGUCGAAAGACGGACUAAUACCGCGUACACUUGGGAUAGGGCAUCCUGACCCAAGGAAAUGAAAUUCGCUGUGAGAUAGGCAUGCGUCCCAUUAGCUAGUUGGUGAGGUAACGGCUCACCAAGGCGACGAUGGGUAGGGGAACUGAGAGGUUGAACCCCCACACUGGUACUGAGACGCGGACCAGACUCCUACGGGAGGCAGCAGUGAGGAAUAUUGGUCAAUGGGCGAGAGCCUGAACCAGCCAAGUCGCGUGAAGGAUGACUGUCUUAUGGAUUGUAAACUUCUUUUAUACGGGAAUAACAAGAGCCACGUGUGGCUCCCUGCAUGUACCGUAUGAAUAAGCAUCGGCUAACUCCGUG
rnacentral:rRNA from 1 species